CUUGGUUCAGGAUGAACGCUAGCGACAGGCCUAACACAUGCAAGUCGAGGGGCAGCACAAGGAGCAAUCUGAGGUGGCGACCGGCGCACGGGUGAGUAACACGUAUGCAACCUGCCUGUAAGCGGGGAAUAACCCGUUGAAAGACGGACUAAUACCGCAUAAUACUAAAUUACUGCAUGGUAAUUUAUUUAAACAUUUAUGGCUUACAGAUGGGCAUGCGCAUGAUUAGCUAGUUGGAGAGGUAACGGCUCCCCAAGGCAACGAUCAUUAGGGGUUCUGAGAGGAAGGUCCCCCACACUGGUACUGAGACACGGACCAGACUCCUACGGGAGGCAGCAGUGAGGAAUAUUGGUCAAUGGACGAGAGUCUGAACCAGCCAAGUCGCGUGCAGGAAGAAUGUCCCUAUGGAUUGUAAACUGCUUUUGCAGGGGAAUAAAGUGCAUCACGUGUGAUGUUUUGUAUGUACUCUGCGAAUAAGGAUCGGCUAACUCCGUGCCAGCCGCGGC
rnacentral:rRNA from 1 species